rnacentral:rRNA from 1 species
GGCCUAACACAUGCAAGUCGAACGCGAUUAAGGAGCUUGCUCUUUAUGAAAGUGGCGCACGGGUGCGUAACGCGUAUGCAACCUACCUUUAUCAGGGGGAUAGCCCGGAGAAAUCCGGAUUAACACCGCAUAAAAUCACAGCAUAGCAUUAUGUAAUGAUCAAAUAUUUAUAGGAUAAAGAUGGGCAUGCGUGUCAUUAGCUAGUUGGCGGGGUAACGGCCCACCAAGGCGACGAUGACUAGGGGAUCUGAGAGGAUGGCCCCCCACACUGGUACUGAGACACGGACCAGACUCCUACGGGAGGCAGCAGUAAGGAAUAUUGGUCAAUGGAGGGAACUCUGAACCAGCCAUGCCGCGUGCAGGAAGACUGCCCUAUGGGUUGUAAACUGCUUUUAUCCGGGAAUAAACCUACUUACGUGUAAGUAGCUGAAUGUACCGGAAGAAUAAGGA